AGAGUUUGAUCCUGGCUCAGGACGAACGCUGGCGGCGUGCCUAACACAUGCAAGUCGAACGGAGAUAUGAUUUCGGUUGUAUCUUAGUGGCGAACGGGUGAGUAACGCGUGAGCAACCUGACUCUUAGAGGGGGAUAACACUCGGAAACGAGUGCUAAUACCGGAUAAGACACAUUAAAGAAGAAAGGUGGCCUCUUUACAAUGCUACCACUUACAGAUGAAUCCGCGUCCCAUUAGCCAGUUGGUGGGGUAAAGGCCUACCAAAGCGACGAUGGGUAGCCGGCCUGAGAGGGUGACCGGCCACACUGGAACUGAGACACGGUCCAGACUCCUACGGGAGGCAGCAGUGGGGAAUAUUGCGCAAUGGGGGAAACCCUGACGCAGCAACGCCGCGUGAAGGAUGAAGGUUUUCGGAUCGUAAACUUCUUUGAUGGGGGACGAAACAAAUGACGGUACCAUAAGAGGAAGCCACGGCUAACUACGUGCCAGCAGCCGCGGUAAUACGUAGGUGGCAAACGUUGUCCGGAAUUACUGGGCGUAAAGGGCGAGUAGGUGGUUUAUUAAGUCAGAAGUGAAAACUCCGGGCUCAACUCGGAGACUGCUCCUGAAACUGGUAGACUUGAGUGCAAGAGAGGGCAAUGGAAUUCCAUGUGUAGCGGUAAAAUGCGUAGAUAUAUGGAGGAACACCAGUGGCGAAGGCGGUUGCCUGGCCUGUAACUGACGCUGAGGCACGAAAGCGUGGGGAGCAAACAGGAUUAGAUACCCUGGUAGUCCACGCUGUAAACGAUGAUAACUAGCUGUCGGCGAUACACAGUCGGUGGCCAAGCGAAAGCAUUAAGUAAUCCACCUGGGGAGUACGUUCGCAAGAAUGAAACUCAAAGGAAUUGACGGGGGCCCGCACAAGCGGAGGAGCAUGUGGUUUAAUUCGAUGAUACGCGAGGAACCUUACCUGGGCUCGAACGUAUAGGGAAUUAUGCCGAAAGGUAUAAGCCAGCAAUGGCCGUAUACGAGGUGCUGCAUGGUUGUCGUCAGCUCGUGCCGUGAGGUGUUAGGUUAAGUCCUGCAACGAGCGCAACCCUUACCUUUAGUUGCCAGCAUGUAAUGAUGGGGACUCUAAAGGAACUGCCUACGCAAGUAGUGAGGAAGGUGGGAUGACGUCAAAUCAGCACGGCCCUUAUGUCCAGGGCGACACACGUGCUACAAUGGCCGAUACAAAGGGCAGCUACCAGGUGACUGGAUGCGAAUCUUUAAAAUCGGUCUCAGUUCGGAUCGGAGUCUGCAACCCGACUCCAUGAAGUUGGAUUCGCUAGUAAUCGCGCAUCAGCAACGACGCGGUGAAUACGUUCCCGGGCCUUGUACACACCGCCCGUCAAGCCAUGGAAGCUGGGGGUGCCUGAAGUCUGCCACCGCAAGGAGCGGCCUAGGGUAAAACCAGUGACUGGGGUUAAGUCGUAACAAGGUAACC
rnacentral:rRNA from 1 species